CGCGUAGGCGGGACUGCAAGUCAGAUGUGAAAUGUGAGGGCUUAACCCUCAAGCUGCAUUUGAAACUGUGGUUCUUGAGUAUCGGAGAGGCAGGCGGAAUUCCAAGUGUAGCGGUGAAAUGCGUAGAUAUUUGGAGGAACACCAGUGGCGAAGGCGGCCUGCUGGACGACAACUGACGCUGAGGCGCGAAAGCGUGGGGAGCAAACAGGAUUAGAUACCCUGGUAGUCCACGCUGUAAACGAUGAAUACUAGGUGUGGGGGGACUAACCCCCUCCGUGCCGCAGUUAACACAAUAAGUAUUCCACCUGGGGAGUACGGCCGCAAGGUUGAA
rnacentral:rRNA from 1 species